CAGAUCAAAGGGGCUGGCUAUAAAAUACAAGCCCAGGGACCCAGGCUGUGUGGGGGAAGAUAGGAGUAAAGUUUAUGUUGGACAAUCCUAUGAAGAGAGGAGAAAGGGAACCUGCUGGGAAGAUCCUGGACUUGGAAUCCUGAAAUUAUUAAUGCCAAUGAGAUCUUCCAAUGAUGUAGAAGAGGUCACAGCACUUUUCACAGUAUACCCUUCUGAACAUCUGCUUGAGGGAGAAUGCAAAAGCAUACCUGCAGUUGUGACUUAUGCUGAGUGCAGUUUUUAGUAAAAUAUUUGCCUAAAUAGCACUUCUUCAAAAGUUUCUUGAAAUAUGGGCAAUCGCCUGAAGUAGGUAUAAUUCAUCAUCUGCUGAAAGGAUACUUAUUAAAAUUGACCAGCUGACAAAAUGAUUGAAUCUUGAGUAAGGCAUGCACCUUAAGUAACAAUGUUAUGGAUAUAAUGACAUCUUGCAAUGACUGAUAUGCCAAUAAUUACCAUCAAAACAUUUACUAAUGAAUAGAUAGUCAGAACAAUUAGGAUGGAAACAAAGUUUUUCUUUGAACGGAGUAAUUUAGGGUUGAAGUUGUAGAUAGCAUCUUCACAUUUCUUACUCCUGGUGAGCUGUCAACAACAACAAAAACAGAAAUGUUCAAUUUUGUGGGGAAAUCUUCCUUUAAAAUAGUAUUAAGUUGCUUUAAAUCAAAAUUACAUUUCCCACUAGUAUCUCUUAUAAAGGCAUAAACAGUUCCAAACUCCAAUCCUAUUUUGUAUAGACUGUGUGCUAUAUUUAGCAUUCAAACACUUCUCAGCUCUAAUGACACUCAAGCAUAUUUCGGUGCCAAUAAUAUUUUACUGCAUCAUGAAAGAGGUUGUAAGCAGUUUUAUUUAGGGUGGGUGAAUAGUCCAUUCAACGAGUGUGUGUGUGUGUUCGUGUGCCUGUGCCCCCCCCCUGUCUGUCUGUCUGUGUGUGUGUGUGAGAGAGAGAGAGAGAGGGCAUUCUUACCUGAAAUACUGGCAAUGAUCUAAGUGAAUUGCAGUUUUUACACCUCUAAUGAAAGCUAAGCAAAUGAUGAAAGUAAUAUGGUCAGUGGGAAGAAAUAAGCUCCAACAUCCUAAAUUAUUGUUAAAUCAAUGUUUUGAAAGCUGAUCUUCAUAGAGAUCAUAAGUGUGGCUCCCACUGAGCUGAGAUGGCUUUUCAUGAUUUCCGGUAGAAUAGUAAUCUUCAAAAGUGAGUGUACAAUCAGGGACACUAAGGCUGCAACAAUACUCUGGAAUUACUAGAUCAUUAUGUGGAAAUUUGUAAAUAAUCACAAGAAUUUUAAAACCAACUGACUGAUAUAAAUUGCUGGGAACAUGCUAUGACAAGGAAAAUUGUGAAAAGCAUUUGGCUUUUAUGUUAGACAUAUGUCAAAGUAUUUCCUUUUUGGUUAAAAGAAGAUGCCUCUGUUCAUUUGUAACCAAAGCUUAGGUGACAGCCUUGUUCUGCCUAUGCAUUGGGUAAUUUUUUCUACAUUUGUAAUUGUCUGUAUUAUCUACUGAUCUAUUUAUAAGCAUAUAUGUUACAAUGUGUUAUAUUUGAAUGAUGGCAUCCUUUUGUGAGUAAGGACAGUCCCAGACAAAUUUUGUGAACAAUUCUUGGCAACCACUUUAGAGGUUAUCUUACAAUCAAACAGUAUAUAAAUUUUGUUAAAUAAAUU